rnacentral:rRNA from 1 species
UACGUAGGGGGCAAGCGUUGUCCGGAGUUACUGGGCGUAAAGCGCACGCAGGCGGUCUGUUAAGUUUGGAGUGCCAGUUGGUGGCUUAACUGCCAAAGUGCUUUGAAAACUGACAGACUUGAGGGCUUCAGAGGGACACGGAAUUCCGGGUGGAGUGGUGAAAUGCGUAGAGAUCCGGAGGAACACCGAAGGCGAAGGCAGUGUCCUGGGGAGUACCUGACGCUCAGGUGCGAAAGCCAGGGGAGCGAACGGG